GGAACCCGGCAUUGUGACAGCAAGGUCCCUCCAGCAUGGCCCUAGUCACUGAGGAGCCGCUCUGGGAGGACAGCCAGAUGAGGAAACUGAUGUCCAGAGAAGUUGAAUAACUUUGCACAAAGAUGCACUUAUCAAGAAAAUAGUGAAGAGGAAACACAAUGGACUGCUGGCUGCUGGAUGAGUCAUGGAGACCAAAGUGGCCACUGGCCCUGGACACCCUUCCAUGGAAAAGUCUCUGUGGACCAAGUACCGCCAUACAAAGUGGUCGGCAGGCGUGUGGUACCCUAGAGAAGCAAGGUACCAUGGUCAUGUGCCUGGCCCUAGGUGUGAAUGUUCUGGCAUUGUGCAACCGGGGAAAUCAACCUCUUGGAGCCAUGGUUCUCUCUCUCUUUGCAUCUUUCAGGAACAUAAAUUUUAUUAUAAGGGUUAUGAAAAACAGAAAUUUAUUAAGAACCAUCUCUGCUAUCACAGACCUGGGAGAAAGGACAGAGACGAGCAGGGAAGGCAGAAAGUAUCCCAGGAAAAAGUCUCUGAUGUCUCUCCCAGAUAGGGGAAGGGGGGGCCAUGACAGCACCGAUGCCCUCAUGACAGGAAUCCAUGUGAAGAAGACUGAGGCUGUGUGUACACUGCCUCCUGCAGCUGUUUGCAUCCAAGCCUGGCCACCAUCCACACUGUGACAUCAGGAUCCAGAGCUUGGGUCCUCUGUAC